UACGUAGGGUGCGAGCGUUAAUCGGAAUUACUGGGCGUAAAGCGUGCGCAGGCGGUGAUGUAAGACAGAUGUGAAAUCCCCGGGCUCAACCUGGGACCUGCAUUUGUGACUGCAUCGCUAGAGUACGGCAGAGGGGGAUGGAAUUCCGCGUGUAGCAGUGAAAUGCGUAGAGAUGUGGAGGAACACCGAUGGCGAAGGCAGCCCCCUGGGUCAAGAUUGACGCUCAUGCACGAAAGCGUGGGGAGCAAACAGG
rnacentral:rRNA from 1 species